UCACGACGUUUGUGAAGUUUAAAUGUAGACUGUCUCAAACUGAAUGUGUUAUUUUUGUUGUAGGUGUGUUGGUGUAAAAAUUGAUGCUGACUGAACUCAGGCAGUUGUGCUGGACCUUCUGUACUUUAUACAGGAGAUGACAGUAAACUUUCAAGUUUAAGAGAACUCAGGCAGUUGUGCUGGACCAUCUGUACUUCAUUCAGGGGAUGACAGUAAACUGCAAAGUUUAAGAGCCACCUGAUGAUGAGAAAGACAUUAUCAAUGUAGGCAUCUUGAUGAAGAAGAGUCCACAGCCACAAUAACAAGAUCAUUGAGCUGUCUCCUAAUUGUGGUCAGCUACAUGUUUAGUCUCUUAUGUGCUAAACAUUAUGUAGCCUAAGGAAGCAGCCCUGACUCUGUAGUUUAUAUGAAGGAGCAUGCUGAGUAACUAUCCAGAACGUAGAUCCAAAGAAGAGAAAAGGGCACCAAGCAGAAACAUACCAUCUAAACUCCUUCGAUUCCUGUCAGACCAGAAAGACUUUCAGAAUCCUUGGAAGAUUUAAAGCCAUUGAAGUAUCAGUAUUGGAGAGGAAGAAGACCCAGUUAUUUCGUCUGUUUCCUGCCAUCUUGCAGUUAACCUGGUUUCUUAAUGUAAAGUACUUGUAAUUUGCCCACUUGUCCUUAAUUAUCUUAAAGCUAACAUUUAAAACUAAUUUGCUAUGAGAUUAUUUGCCAAGACUUCUCACUGUGCGAUUCACAUGUCAAUAUGUAUUAUUGUGUGUAUAACUAGCUAUUUGGAAUUCAAAUGAUUUGUAUUCAUUAAAGAAUCUGUUUUAAUUGCAAAGUUGUUUUUGUACUAAUCAUUGUAAGUUCACAGAUAACAAGCUAUGUACUGCUUCUCUACACAUACAGUAUAGAAUAAAUGUUUUGUUUUACUAUUGUAAACCCUUAAUAGUGUAUUUCCCAUAUGUAUAUGUUUGUCCUUACCAAUUGCCAUUUCUAUGCUGCUUGAAGAGCAUUAAAUUAGUAAAAUAAUUAUUUUUUACAGUAGGUAUCCCAUUAA